AAGGAGUUUGUUUGGUUCGUUUCGCUGGCUGUCUGAAAGAAGCCUGUCUGAUCUCCCUGCUUUGGUGUUUAUGUUGAAAUGAAAUAGGACUACAACCUGCUGAUGCAGGAUAUUUUAUCAAUUAUCCCAAACCGAAGUGCAUUUAAUAACCGACACCGAGAAACUGCAGGGAUGUACAAUUCUGUAAGAAGCAAGAUGAAUUUAGUUAGCUAUGACAGAUGAUCUACAAGUGACUAGAUUUUAGUGGCUUUAUCUUUGAGAUCAAAUAACAUAUCAAGGGCGCUGAAUAAUCCUGAUGGGUUCCGGCACUUGGUCCUUAAGACCUAAAUUUCAUAAUCAAUCAACUUGUUGGGUCUAAACACAUAACUUGAAUGUUAUUCUGGCCUUCACCUGGAGCAAGUGCAAAUCGAUUAAGAUGGGUAAUCCUGUUCCGUGGAGCAACACCUUUUAUUAGUCUAGCAGCUCUUCAUAAUUUUCUGUAAUUUUUUGAGAUGUACGUUGGGUAACUUAUAGUACAUAGAGUUACAAUAAUCCAUCCAGUUUAUAGUACAGUUGAUGACAAGAUUUUUAACAGAACUCUCAUCAAGAUAUUUCCUCACAAAGGCUAUAUUCUUAAGGUGAUAUCCAGCAACUUUCACAACAUUAUUAAUUUGUGGACGUGAGUAACAAGCCACAAUCCAAGUAGCUACACCCCAACAAGGUCACGGAUCCUGUCAGUUGUGGACCCGAUUUUCAAUUGUACACACUUUAUUAAAACCCAGACUCCUUAAAUUACUUUCCUUGCUGGAUAUCAUAAGCUCACUUUUAUCUUCGUUCAAUUUCAACUGUUUUAAAGUCAUCCAUUGUUUAAUAUUCGAUAGAACUUCAGUUAAUAUUCCAUGUGUAUUCUCAAUAUUUGUAACAAUGAAAUACAAUUGUGUGUAAUCGGCAUAUAAAUUAUAUUCUACUCCAAGAUUAUAUAGUAUAUUAGACAAACUAAUUGUGUACUAGAUACAGAAUAGGGCAGGGCCAAGCACACUUCCCUGAGGAACUCCUCUCAAGGUUCAUUUGAUGACACGCAUAUAAGUGAUAGUAUUUUUUAUAUGUACAUAUUUACACAAGAUAAAGCAAAGCCUUACUGAAAAGUUACUACAAAAAGGUACAAAUCAAAUAAUUCUUUAAACCAGCAGAUUGGAGAUUAUCAGUAGGCGAGACCAUCUGUCCAAAAGAUUUUAUUUUUUCUUACCCUCAGGGCUCACUUUAAGCUAUUUUGUCCAGUCUUCAUGAUUUACUUUUAAUCACUUUACAAAUCUUUGAAAGGCUGCAUUGUUAGUAUAAGCUUGCUAGAGAAAUGUUCGAAAAAAAUUUCCUCGAAUUUUUGGAUUAUGGACUUAAACAGGUAAAUUUCAAGACCCUUUUUUUCUAUUUCAUUACGUUACAUUUUCCUUGGAUGUGUCAAAUUAAUGUCUCCGCUGGCAUUGUAACUCAAGUUAGUUUUUUUCAUAUCUUGCAUGGUAUAAUUUGGCUUUGUGUUGGCCAUUUCGUAUAAUUCCGUACGCUAACUGGUGGGCAAAAUAAGUUUGAAUAAGACCAACUGCUUAAAAUUAUUUCAACUCUUAAUAACCUCAUUCAAAUGUAGACCUAUUGAAAUUAAAUAUCAGCGCGCAGUUUCAGUGUUCGAUCCCCAAUCAUUUUUGAUAAACAGUUAUUUUCCAUAAGCCUACCAUUAUCGUACGAGUCUCAAUGUCCAUUUCAUUGUAUAACAAAGGACCCAAUCAGUUGGUCCUGGUAUAACGCAGUGGUAUAUGUCGUUUAUAUCCACAUCUGCCAGCUCCUAAAUUCUGGGCAAUAGACUUUCCAUGUUGGUAGUGUAUUAAAAGUAGUCCAGAGAAGUAUAUAUAUUGAAACUGGCAUGUUAUUGUUAGUGUGGCUAUUUGAGAAGUUGUGGCAUUGUGCCACUAAUCAUCUUAGCCUAAUGUGAUUAGGAUGCUCCAGUGAAUACGGUUAGCUGGUGGAACUUCUUGCUUUUUUAAUGGCAACAUCUUCACAGGCUCAUGCAUUGUAUAAAGGUAUGAUCCAUUUACAUGCCCCUAUAGUAAGCAUGUCUUUGAAGAAGUCCAUCAAUUAUUCUUUUAAGUUUAGACUAAAUGAUUGUUUCUUGAUUUUGUGCAUUUUGCGGUGUUGAUCUAGCUCCUCAUUUUAUGUCUUGUAUGUCCAAAUUAUUGUAAAUAUAUUGGAGUGUUGUCUGUCUAGUUGUUUAAAAGAUGCUGUAUUAGUGGUUCAGACAAUCAAACAGUUGGUCGUUGUCUCUAGACUAAAAUGUCGUUGUGAUCUCUGCGUAGGAAAGUGGAAUAUCAAUUGUGUGCACUUCUUUAAACUCAUCCAUUUAAUGUCACGUCUGCUGUGUGUUUUAGCAUGGAGUGGGGAAGAGAAUAUUCUUAAUAGGGUGUUGAUUGUUUCAUUUAAAUCCUUUAAGUAUAUGAAGUUAAAGUACCCUGAGCUCCAGAAUUAGAAUAAUGUAAAUUGCUUGAAGGUUUUAAAGCAGCACGGAACAUUGGCACAAGUACGUAGUAUGUUUUUUUUAUGCUUCAUUUCAAUGUUUUUUUUCUUUUUCUUUUCUUAAACUGAUAGUUGUUGUGGUGGGGAUUUGAAAUUUAGCAGUUUUAGUUGUAGCAGAACUUGCUUAAUUCCAAUUCUGUAUGACCUAUGUCAUUGCUGUAUCUUGAGU